rnacentral:lncRNA from 1 species
UGGUGCUUCUACAACGGGUUUCAAGUUUGAUCUAUUCAAAUCUGAUUUUAUAGGUUCACUAGAUUGUGUCGGUUCUUCUAUCUAUCAAACUUUAUAAGUUUCACAUCAAAGACAUCAGUUCUUUCACCAAGGUACUUCUUUUUCUAAAAGAAAUACCGAACAAUUUUUAUUUUUUAGUAAGGUAUAAGUUAUAUCCCCUAGAUUCUUUAGGAUUAUCCUA